GGCUUAUUGAAUUUAAUUUUAAGUCGAUCUGCCCAAUGAUAAUUAAUUGAAUGGCUGCGGUAUAACUAACUGUACGAAGGUAGCAUAAUAAAUUGUUUUUUAAUUGAAAACUGGAAUGAAAGAAUUAAUGAAAUAUAUACUGUCUCAUAUAUAUAUAUUAUGAAUUUAAAAUUUUAGUAAAAAUGCUGAGAUAUUUUUAUGGGACGAUAAGACCCUAUAGAAUUUUAUAUUAAUUUAAAUUUAUAAAAAAUUUAUGUUAAUAUUUGAUUGGGAGGAUUAAUAAAUUUGAAUAACUUUAUUUUAAAUUAAAACUUUAAUUUAAGAGUGAUUUAUUUGAUCUUGUAUUAUUAAUUAAAAGAAAAAAUUACCUUAGGGAUAACAGCGUAAUAUCUUUUUUAAGAUCGUAUUAAUAAAGAUGAUUGCGACCUCGAUGUUGAAUUAAGAUAAAUUUUAAAUGCAGAAGUUUAAUAAUUGAGUCUGUUCGACUUUUAAAAUCUU
rnacentral:rRNA from 1 species